UGCCGUGUGGCCUAGUGGUAAGGCUUCUGCCUCCUAAGCAGAGGAUCGCGGGUUCGAAUCCCGUCACGGUCG